GCAGCCAGAGGGAGGAGCCAGGAAAUCCGGGCGGGGCGCCCCCCUCCAGCCCGGGCCAGGCGCCGGAGGGGGCGCCGGAGGGGGCGCCGGCUGCCCCCAGAAACGCGCUCCAGAUGCGCGAGGCGCUGCCAGCAUUCCUGGAAGGUAACGCAGGCCGGGCGGGGGGCGGGGCACGGCCGCAGCCCGCUGCCAGAUGUGCACCGCGAACAGCUGCCCUCGGCUAAUAAGGGCACAGAACAGCGGUGUCGGUGACUUAGGUGCCCAAAGGAUGGCUCAUUCACUCCUUCCAAGAACCCGGGAACCUAAGGAGACUGGUGCUGGUAUUAAUCCCAUCGCACAGAUGAAGAAGAUGUCACCCUGGAACUGCUGAUGGCCAUCUCUGACAGCACAUGGGGAGAACCU